rnacentral:rRNA from 1 species
GUGUCAGCAGCCGCGGUAAAACGUAGGAGGCGAGCGUUAUCCGGAUUUACUGGGCGUAAAGGGUGUGCAGGCGGGCCGUUAAGUGGUGCAUGAAAGCGAAGGGCUCAACCCUUCGAGGCUGUGCCAGACUGGCGGUCUGGAGUGCGGGAGAGGGCUGUGGAAUUCCGGGUGUAGUGGUGAAAUGCGUAGAGAUCCGGAGGAACACCAGAGGCGAAGGCGGCAGCCUGGCCCGCAACUGACGCUGAGACACGACAGCAUGGGGAGCGAACGGGAUUAGAAACCCGGGUAGUCC